CGCCACCCAGUGGUGCCGCUGCGUUCGGCCGCGUCUGAGGGUGCCUGCGGGAGGCGGAGGACUGGGUGGCAAUCCCUCAGGGACAGUGACCCGUGUGGCUGCCGGGCGUCUCCGAGAGCCUGCGGCACUCCAAGGACAACUUCUCUUUGUGAAGAAAUCAGGCAGUGCUGUGGAAUUACAUCGGAUGUAGCCUUGCUUAUUUUUUCCUAUUGCUGUCAACACAACAUAUGCAGUCUUUUGGGCUGCCAACUCUCAUCUCUUACAUCAAGGAAACUGAAUCAUCUCUACCUUGGCCUAAAAGAAAUAACAGAGCUUGUAUAAAUAUAUUUUGAUAAUGUCCUUGAGAUUCCUGAAGACACAAAAAAGCAGGAACAGUACGUACAUUUUUUUUUCUUUUGCUGUUUGAAAAGCUGUGCCAUCAGUGGCCAUUUGUACUUAGCUGAAAUUGCAGCAUUGGAUUCUAUCAACACAAUAAAUAAAUAAACAGAUGAUUGUGAGCGCAGUGAA